UUCCUACGGGAGGCAGCAGCCGCGGUAAUACGUAGGGGGCAAGCGUUAUCCGGAUUUACUGGGUGUAAAGGGGGCGCAGACGGCGAUGCAAGCCAGGAGUGAAAGCCCGGGGCCCAACCCCGGGACUGCUCUUGGAACUGCGUGGCUGGAGUGCAGGAGGGGCAGGCGGAAUUCCUGGUGUAGCGGUGAAAUGCGUAGAUAUCAGGAGGAACACCGGUGGCGAAGGCGGCCUGCUGGACUGCAACUGACGUUGAGGCCCGAAAGCGUGGGGAGCAAACAGGAUUAGAUACCCCUG
rnacentral:rRNA from 1 species